rnacentral:rRNA from 1 species
CACGUAGGGUGCAAGCGUUGUCCGGAAUCAUUGGGCGUAAAGAGCUCGUAGGCGGCUUAGUAAGUCGGGUGUGAAAACUCUAGGCUCAACCUAGAGACGCCACCCGAUACUGCUAUAGCUAGAAUCCAGUAGGGGAGUGUGGAAUUCCCAGUGUAGCGGUGAAAUGCGCAGAUAUUGGGAGGAACACCGGUGGCGAAGGCGGGUCUCUGGGCAGCAACUGACGCUGAGGAGCGAAAGCGUGGGGAGCGAACAGG